AUUGAACGCUGGCGGCAGGCCUAACACAUGCAAGUCGAACGAGUGGCGGACUGGUGAGUAAUGUCUGAGAAACUGCCUGAUGGAGGGAGAUAACUGCUGGAAACGGUAGCUAAUACCGCAUACCCUCAGAUGUGCCCAGACUGGAUUAGCUUGUUGGUGGGGUAACGGCUCACCAAGGCGACGAUCCCUAGCUGGUCUGAGAGGAUGAACAGCCACACUGGAACUGAGACACGGUCCAGACUCCUACGGGAGGCAGCAGUGGGGAAUAUUGCACAAUGGGCGCAAGCCUGACGCAGCCAUGCCGCGUGUAUGAAGAAGGCCUUCGGGUUGUAAAGUACUUUCAGCGGGGAGGCGUUACCCGCAGAAGAAGCACCGGCUAACUCCGUGCCAGCAGCCGCGGUAAUUC
rnacentral:rRNA from 1 species